AUCUGUCGGUGGAUAGAGUCUCCCGAGCCCACUGUUUCCUUGCACGAUAAUGGAAAUUCAGCCAUCAGACAAGUUAGGACGGUGACUUCUGGUCUACCCAGGAGAUUAAGGUGGUUGGUGGCAUUUCAUUAAUUCUAUGGAGGACGCUUCACAUUUGUGCUCCUGAUGGAAAUUCGGGAUGCUCCUUUUACUUUACCGAGGACCCCGCCUGACACGUAGGACAUGGCAUUGGCGUGAACCAAACUCUCAGAGACCUACGCCUGCACCAUCCAUGCUCAAGGUCUUGGCUUCCAAGAUUGGGCCACCAUCUCCAGAGGCAGCAGAAGGAGCUUCCCUGGAGGGUGGUCUCUGAUGGCAGCUCCCGAGCCUGGACGCCCAAAAUCACCGUGUGGGCAGAGCUGGGUCCUCCCGGAGACUACGAGGGCACCUCUGUGGCCGGGCUUCUGUCCCAGGAAGAUUAAAACAACAAAACAGCAAGAAUACACAUGAAAGUACUUUGAAGGGAAACUGAAAAAUCCGUUGGUCCGAGGGGAACGUGGUGGAAGAUUAAGUGGACGAGGAUGCUCCGUGGGCUGCAGCAAACACAGCGCUCCGUGUUGGACAGAAAGCACCCAGACCAGACUGGGUACCCACCGUGCUAGACUCAGAGUCACCGUUUUCACAUUGUUUGCUCGGGGCAGGGACAGUGCCCGACGAGCCCGUUACUCCCUUACAAACCCAGGGCCAUCCAUUUCCCUGGUGCAUUUCCCUGUUCAGACCACAGCGGGAUAGAUUUCUGGGGACUCUCAGAUGGUAAUGUUUAAAGCGAAACAAAGAAGUCUUCUGUGCACCUGCUCCGGAAGACAAGUCUCGGGAGCAUUGCCCACUGGGAAAACCCAUCACGGGCAGCCCACAUUUUGUGUUGACCGGCUUGUGCACAGCCAAGCGGUGACCUGGCCCUCCUUGUGACCGACUGGAACCAACCAAGACGUGGAGGGACCGGGAUGAGGGGUUCAGGUGGCUCCUAACCUGGCGGGAGCUACUAGGCUGGAUCAUAGGGGGGACUUUUUAAAUCUCUGGUUUCACCCUUGUAGGUAUUGGCCCGCAUGGUGCCCGGCAAAGUCAGCUCCUGGGUGUGCUAGGAUCUGCCCACGGCAACGUCAUUGGUGAAGAUCUUUGCUUUGGGCACAACAGGGAUGAGCCGUCCUGGGGUGGGCGCCUUACCAGAAAUCUGUCCCCGCUUGGGGGGGACGACCAGCCUCUUUGUGUUGCUGAGAACAUGAUAGACCCUUUGGACUUUGGCUCUUCCAAACUAUGUCCCCUCUCUCCCCUGCAAACAGCCCCCGCCCUCCACCGCUAAAACCGCUACCCUCUCCAAAUGCAAGAAGAGAACUUGCCAUCCUAUAAGGGCUUUCUUUCUUUCUUUUUUUUUAAAUUAAGAUGAGUGCCCUUGAAUUGGAAAUGUCUCUUCUUGCUGUAGAUUUUGAAGACACCAUUUUCUUCCUAAUUUCUCCACCUAUGGCCGCUCCUCGCGGUGGUAAUAGGACAUCACGCUGAAAUUUGGGACUAAUGUCUGAAGCUUUCUUACUGUUUUUGUUUGUUUGUUUGUUUUUUUAAUGACUGGCAUUUAAGACGACAUAUCGAAAACCAGCUCCUCACUGUUGGAUUCAAUUCUGGAUUAGAAGCACUGUUAACCGUUUCCGCGCGGACGACCUUAACAGAGCAGUUAGGUCCCAAGCAUGCUCCAAUGUAGGAGAAAAAAUAAAGGAAGUGGGGCCGGGAAGAGAGCUUGGCAUGGAUGGGUCUCGCCGCCGUUGAUUGCCGACCUGAUUUUAAAGUCAGACAUGGGAUCCGCUCCCCGCCUCGGGUGCUUUCUGCUGCGUAGCUACUCGUCCUUGAUUCGAAGACCUAUUAUUUCAAGUCAUACAAUCGCGGGUGGGACAAGUCCCCGCGGGUCCUUUAACAUGGGGCUCCCCGUGUCGGUGCCGAGAGUUUGACGGUCAGUGGAAGGCAGUGAGCUGGUCCCGGUGAGGGAUGGGCAGGUGCCUGACCCCCGCCCCCAACACACACACAUGCACGCACGUGCACACAAUACAAUUUUUAUUCGGGUGGUACCGCCUUGCCUUUCUGAGGGUGCCACCUACGUCCAUGUUUACUUCUUUUUUUAAAAAAUAUUUAAUUAUUUAUUUGAGAGAGAGAGCAGGUAGAGGA